rnacentral:rRNA from 1 species
ACGACCGGCGCACGGGUGAGUAACACGUUUGCAACCUUCCCCUAACUGGAGAAUAGCCCGAAGAAAUUCGGAUUAAUACUCCAUAAAGUCAAUUUAAGGCAUCUUUUAUUGAUUAAAGCUCCGGCGGUUAGAGAUGGGCAUGCGUGUCAUUAGCUAGUUGGUGAGGUAACGGCUCACCAAGGCCACGAUGACUAGGGGGUCUGAGAGGAUGAUCCCCCACACUGGUACUGAGACACGGACCAGACUCCUACGGGAGGCAGCAGUGAGGAAUAUUGGGCAAUGGACGCAAGUCUGACCCAGCCAUGCCGCGUGCAGGGUGACUGCCCUAUGGGUUGUAAACUGCUUUUGUUUGGGAAGAAACCCCCGAUCGUGAUCGGGGCUGACGGUACCAUACGAAUAAGCAUCGGCUAACUCCGUGCCAGCAGCCGCGGUAAUACGGAGGAUGCAAGCGUUAUCCGGAUUCAUUGGGUUUAAAGGGUGCGCAGGCGGAAUAUUAAGUCAGUGGUGAAAUCCUGCAGCUUAACUGUAGAACUGCCAUUGAUACUGAUAUUCUUGAAUAUAGUUGAGGUGGGCGGAAUGUGUAAUGUAGCGGUGAAAUGCUUAGAUAUUACACAGAACACCAAUUGCGAAGGCAGCUCACUAAACUAAUAUUGACGCUGAGGCACGAAAGCGUGGGUAGCAAACAGGAUUAGAUACCCUGGUAGUCCACGCUGUAAACUAUGAUCACUCGCUGUUGGCAAUACAUCGUCAGCGGCUGAGCGAAAGCAUUAAGUGAUCCACCUGGGGAGUACGGUCGCAAGAUUGAAACUCAAAGGAAUUGACGGGGGCCCGCACAAGCGGAGGAACAUGUGGUUUAAUUCGAUGAUACGCGAGGAACCUUACCUGGGCUUAAAUGCAGAGCGACGUCCGCCGAAAGGUGGAUUCCUUCGGGCGAUCUGCAAGGUGCUGCAUGGUUGUCGUCAGCUCGUGCCGUGAGGUGUCGGGUUAAGUCCCAUAACGAGCGCAACCCUUAUCGUUAGUUGCCAGCGGGUAAUGCCGGGGACUCUAACGAAACUGCCGGUGUAAACCGUGAGGAAGGUGGGGAUGACGUCAAAUCAGCACGGCCCUUAUGUCCAGGGCUACACACGCGUUACAAUGGUCGGUACAGAGGGCAGCUACCACGCGAGUGGAUGCUAAUCUCGAAAACCGGUCUCAGUUCGGAUUGAAGUCUGCAACUCGACUUCAUGAAGCUGGAUUCGCUAGUAAUCGCGCAUCAGCCAUGGCGCGGUGAUACGUUCCCGGGCCUUGUACACACCGCCCGUCAAGCCAUGGAAGCUUGGGGUACCUGAAGUCCUAACCGCAAGGAGCGGCCUAGGGUAAGACAAGUGACUGGGGCUAAGU